ACACUCCUACGGGAGGCAGCAGUGGGGAAUUUUGGACAAUGGGCGAAAGCCUGAUCCAGCAAUGCCGCGUGAGUGAAGAAGGCCUUCGGGUUGUAAAGCUCUUUUGUCAGGGAAGAAACGGUGAGAGCUAAUAUCUCUUGCUAAUGACGGUACCUGAAGAAUAAGCACCGGCUAACUACGUGCCAGCAGCCGCGGUAAUACGUAGGGUGCAAGCGUUAAUCGGAAUUACUGGGCGUAAAGCGUGCGCAGGCGGUUUUGUAAGUCUGAUGUGAAAUCCCCGGGCUCAACCUGGGAAUUGCAUUGGAGACUGCAAGGCUAGAAUCUGGCAGAGGGGGGUAGAAUUCCACGUGUAGCAGUGAAAUGCGUAGAUAUGUGGAGGAACACCGAUGGCGAAGGCAGCCCCCUGGGUCAAGAUUGACGCUCAUGCACGAAAGCGUGGGGAGCAAACAGGAUUAGAAACCCGAGUAGUCC
rnacentral:rRNA from 1 species